CCCUGCCCUUUGUACACACCGCCC
rnacentral:ncRNA from 5 species